AAAAAAAAAAAAAAAAAAGCCCAUAAGAGCAAUAAGCCUCAGGUCACGUGACCGGCCUGAAGAAAAUGACGGAAAAGAUGGAAACCAGAUCGAACAGGUAAAGUAAAGCCUCGAUAAUAGAGCGAAAGGUUAACGAAAAGAGAAAUACGAUUUCAAUAUCAAACAGCAACAGCAAAUAAAUUUCCAAAAGCUUUCUCUUUAACAAAUUAAAUAAGAUCAAAUCUAAGCUUGAAAGAGAAGAUCUUAAUCUGGAGGAGAAAUAUAUCUACAGCAUAUAAUAGAAAUUACUAGCUUUCGCCUGGAUCCGAGUAACAUUACAUAGCAAAAACACAGGUUUCAUGUGGAUUUCAAAGGAUUUUAAGAAGAAACAUGAUGGAAUUAAACACAAAACAGAAAAUGUGAGUUAGAAAGGAAAUCCAGAAGAGGAAAAUGCUGGAUAGAAGAAGGAAAGAAUCAAAAGGAGUAGAGUACCUGAUAAAGGAAGAGGAAGAAU
rnacentral:misc_RNA from 1 species